AGAGCCUGGUUGUAUGAGAUUAGAGUCCUACUUACUCAGGAGAUCGAGUAAGAUGAUCCAAAAGUUCACAACUUUCCUGGGCUACAGAGUUCUUGGCCUUAAAAUGGUGAUAUGAAGGAAUUUAAACUUGUGGAAUUGAAUUAAACCCAGUUACAUAGUGGUUGGUUAUUCUCAUAA